GUAAAUAGUUAGAAACACUCAGUGAAACCUAAACCGAAAGUCGCCCCAACAAUUUUAAAAUAAAAUCGCCUGGUGCUAGGUUAGAAAAAGUGCGCACUCUGGAAAAAUACAGCCAAACGUGUUGGCAAACGGACAGUUUGAUGAUCAAAAUAGGAAAGAACAAUCUCAAACUCAUUAAUAAUUCAUCAGUAAAUUAUCCAAUCA